UACAGAGGGUGCGAGCGUUAAUCGGAAUUACUGGGCGUAAAGCGUGCGUAGACGGCUAUCUAAGUCGGGUGUGAAAGCCCCGGGCUCAACCUGGGAAUUGCAUUCGAGACUGAUAGCUAGGGUACGGUAGAGGGAAGCGGAAUUUCCGGUGUAGCGGUGAAAUGCGUAGAUAUCGGAAGGAACACCAGUGGCGAAAGCGGCUUCCUGGUCCAGCACCGACGUUCAGGCACGAAGCGUGGGGAGCAAACAGG
rnacentral:rRNA from 1 species